rnacentral:lncRNA from 10 species
CGGGGGACCACGGGAUGGGAAGGGUGGACAUGGCUCUGACAGCAACAAUGUAACACCCAUGCAACGAGUCUGCGAGGCCGAAUGGAAGCCAGCUGGCUGCAGGGGAGAGAGCAAGAGAGUCUGGCAGAAGGUGCACCUGGAGAAGGAAGUAGAGGCCAGGCCAGCAUAUGCUUACAAAAUUUGAAGACCACAACCACUCUCCAAAUACAAAUGCAGCAAGUGAUUUGAAGAUCAUAGAAAUGAUAAUACAGGCAAAAAAUGCAAGAAAUCUCCCCUGCCAAAUUAUUCAACUAUGUAUGACUUCUGCCUUUUCACAGCGCCAAUUUGCCAUGCUAUGCGUUUCAUCUUUGCAUCAUUUUCAAUACUGGAUGUAUAAAUUGUGUAAAGACUUUCAGAGUUCUAAUUCAUUUUAUGCAUUUUUUGCAAAUUUGAUUCCAUGAAAGUGCAUUAUCACAUCAUCGACUGUGUGUAAUCAUUGUGUGUGCAUAUAAAAAUGAAGAGAUAAAUGAAGAGAUGUUCGUUUUAUACAUCUGCAUUUGUAAAAUAUAAAAUUUCUUAAGAUCUUGGCUGUUUGGGAGACUGCGUAUGUAGUGGUGACCUAUCAUGGUUUUUGAUCAAUCUUGUCAAAAGACUUAGCUUGUCUGUCAUGGCAUUUCAGAUGAGUGAAUUUCAGAUGUUAUAAAGCUGGGUGCACACAAUUGCCAACCACAGUGAUAUAUAUUUAUACAUUUUGCUUUUUGACAUACUUCUUUAUGAGUAUGGUUUGUCUGCUCAUAAUUUUUAUACUCUUGCAACUGUUGUUAGUAUACCUGAGUGCUUAUGUUUGCAAAUGUAUGUAUGUUAUUAAUGCCUAUUUUGUUGUAUACAAUGGCCUAUGAAGUGUUCUGUUGUGUUUUUAUGUUUAUCAAAUAAAUUCCCCUUUAAAAAUGUGAACACAUGUCUUUACAUUUUUUAAAUUAUUUUUUCCAGAAUUGUAUUUUUGGAAUUUUAGACUUCAAGGAUUUUG